AUUAUUUAUUUAAAGUAUUACACAUGCCAGUCUCCGCAUCCCAGUGCCAAAACCCAAAAACUGAAGAUCAGAUAUGAAAUGAUAUCAGGUACGCUACACCCAGCAGCCAACGACAUCUAGCAUAGCCACACCCCCACGGAACUCAGCAGUGAUAAACAUUAAGCCAUGAGCUAAAGCUCGACUUAGACAAAAUGAACCAGGACCGGUAAACUUCGUGCCAGCCACCGCGGUUAUACGAAGGGUCCAAGAUAAUAUUAACGGCGUAAAGUGUGACCAGAGAGACCUAAAAGAUUAUAGAACCAUAAAUUAGUAGUAAAAUACACACAUUUACAGGACUACCCAUUAAUAAUCUACGCAUACCUUGACUCACGAACGCUGGAACACAAACUAGGAUUAGAUACCCUACUAUGCCAGCCGUAAACUAAAGCAAUAUAUCUACCAAUUUGCUCGCCAGAAAACUACACGCGAAAGCACAAAAUUCAAAGGACUUGACGGUGUUCCACAUCAACCUAGAGGAGCCUGUCCUGUAAUCGACGAUCCACGUUAUACCUCACCCACUUUUGAUACAACAGCCUAUAUACCGCCGUCGUCAGCUCAUCUAAUGAUAGAACCAAAAUGAGCAAAAGUGUAUAUCACCAAAACGUCAGGUCAAGGUGUAGCUUAUAAGUGGGCAUGAGAUGGGCUACAUUUUUUAGACUAAAAAAUACAGCAAGAAAAAUGAAACAUAGACUAUUAAAGGUGGAUUUAGCAGUAAAUAUGUGCAAGAAGUGCCAUAUUGAACUUAGCUCUGGAAC
rnacentral:rRNA from 1 species